GCCAGAAGUGGCUUCUUGUGCUGCUGCUCCCCCUCACCCAGAUGGGGGAACAGCAGCGCAUGGCACCUGGAGGCUUUCCAGCACAUGACACCUGGAAUCCAGUCAAUUGGAGCAGCAACUCGUAGCUUGGGAGCUGUGUAGGGUACAAAAGCAAGAUGAGAGACAACCACUGAGUGCAAACAGAGGGGAGGAGCACAGAGUUACAAUUUGGUGAUUAGAGACUUGGAGCACAACACGUUACAUUAACUUGAGAUCAUUGAUCAGUACCUGGAACCUGAGAAGCAAGGAGAAGAAGACUGAAGAAGAAAAUGCAUAUAUUUUCUUUUGAUCAUGAUAUUUAUGCCAGAUAGAAUUUAACCAAUCUGGUUUCCCUGAUUUAUUUACUCAGCAAUGAUUUUAUUAUUUACAAAUUGAACAGUUAGUCCUUGAUAUGCCGUUCAAAUUCAAUGGUCCAAAAAAUCAUAUUGCUACCAGUGCCACUUGGAGGUCAAUGUUAUCUGCACUAGUAAAUAACUUUGAUAAAACCUGUAGUAUUACUGGCUUGCUCAAAAUUCAAGCAAUGUGGGGCAAAUGCCAUAAUUAGCCGUCUUCUUCUUAAACCCUUGUAUUCCAAGUAUAAGAUAGGUCAUUUACAAGUCUCCUCCACUUCACUCUGUCUUGAGACAAAACUUCUAGCUGAUUUCAGGAGUACCCAGUUGUUGGCCUUCAAUCUUAGUAGAUCUUCUCCACAUUGUCCAAGGGCUUCCUCUUUUGCAUUUUCCUUGCGGGUUCCAUGUGAGAG